GACUCCUUGGCGGAGGAGAGCUGAUGGAGGAGCAGGGCAUCUGGAGAAGGACCAUGAAUCUACCUGCCAACCCGUAGUACUGGAAGGCAGGGCAGAGGCAGGUGAUGGGAGAUCCUACCUGGUGAAGGAUCUCUGGGUGGGGCGAGUGACACCCGACUCCAGGGGAUGACCACUGCGGAGAGGGAUGAAGGAGGAGCAUGCAUCUGGAAGGUGCAGUUGAAAUGCCGUGUUCAGUCUGGGGCAGACACACCUGAGCUGCAUCACAACUGUAACUCUGACCUGCUGGAGUCCUCCAGAGGUCAACAUACGGCGCCUCAUCACAGCUCCUCGCUGGCCUGUGAAUUAAUCUGCGCCACUCACAGCACGUCACCACGUGCUGCACGUUGGGAUGCUCCCAAUGUGUUCCAUCGAGGGUUCCUUCCUUGAAACUGGGAGGGCCCCUUCCUCUCCACACUGGGAGGGUUCCUUGUCCUUCAAGGCGUCAGGGUUCAGUGUUAGGGACAGAGUUAGGGACAGAUGGUUGAGCUGGUUUCACGAUAUACGCUUUGUGUUCAAGGGUGGAUGGACAUCCGACAAAACGCUUCCCCCAAAAUGUUUUAAUGUGCAAACGCUUUGUAAAAUGUAUACUAAUGUUUUUUUUAUUUAAAAUCAUG